AUUGAACGCUGGCGGCAGGCCUAACACAUGCAAGUAGAACGAGCGGCGGACGGGUGAGUAAUGUCUGGGAAACUGCCCGAUGGAGGGGGAUAACUACUGGAAACAGUAGCUAAUACCGCAUACCAUCGGAUGUGCCCAGAUGGGAGUAGCUAGUAGGUGGGGUAACGGCUCACCUAGGCGACGAUCCCUAGCGGGUCUGUGAGGAUGACCAGCCAGCCUGGAACUGAGACACGGUCCAGACUCCUGCUGUAGGCAGCGAAGGGGAAUAUUGCACUAUGGGCGCAAGCCGGAUGCAGCCCUGCCGCGUAUAUGAAGGAGGCCUUCGGGUUGUAAAGUACUUUCAGCGAGGAUGCGUUACUCGCCGUAGAAGCACCGGCUAACUCCGUGCCAGCAGCCGCGGUAAUUC
rnacentral:rRNA from 1 species